GCAGCAGAGGCGUGUCUCUCCAGCUCGUUUGGAAAGUACUCGUUGAAACGUACACGUCCAAACUCGCUUUGCCCGGCACUCUUAAGAGUUAUACAUCCACAGUGGAGUCGAUGGGAGGACCGGAGAGCAGCUGCUCUCUGACCCCCCGCCGACCUCUGUUCCGAACGAGAAGUUCGGACCCCGCGACUUUGCCCAUCUGCCCCAUCAAACGGUUGCGAGGAGCCCGUUCAACCUGAAGACAAUAUUCAGAUGAAAGGAAGAAAAUGAGAAAUCAGCUAACACUCCCUGAUGUGCGAUGGACACUUGAGCAAGCACGGCAAACGUAAUUGGUCAGAUUUCUUGUGUGCUGAGGCUAUGGAACCUGUGGUUAUGGUGGCUAUGGAGGCCUAUCGUUUAGAAAUAUCCACAUUGCGAUGAUGGUUAAUGAUGGGACUAAACUUAAAACCACCCAUCUGCUCCCUGCUUCAGGAUGUUUUCAUUCAAUUGUUUCUAUGCAUUUAAGACGAAAUUACUGAAUGACUUCAAAUCUUGGCCCAACGUUAGGAAACAAAAAACUCAUUAUGCAUGAAUUUGACAUAGAUAUUAUCGAGAGCCUUCUCUAACGUUGCCUUGGGCGCGCCACAGAUGGGGUAGUUGAAGCAUAGGGGGAAGAGAGACUUUAAUUUCAUUGGAUAUAGGCCUAAUUGAAGCAUCCUUUAAGGACUGUUUCAAUCAUAUUGCAUCAGAAUUAAUGUAUUUAAAUAUGAAACAUUUAAGGUCUGGUCUCUGCUGAUUGCUCACAGGCCAACCGACGAAAUUAAAUUCCAGCACGAGGAAGAAACGUACUCCUCUGCGUAGCUCGCCAUUAAUCUGACAUUUCAUCAGUUUACUAAACCGCAAUAAGACCCCGAAAACACAUUGUGCAGAUCGGCUCACUCACCCCUCCGUCAUCAGCUAAUUCUGUAAGAGGCACAACUGUGGAUUCUGUGAAUAAAAGAAAAGUUUUGGAGUCUUAAGUAUGAGACUCAGGGGUCUGGGUUGUCCAGUAGAUAGCCUGCUGCUCGGUAAUGGCUCUGGUCAUCCCCUGCGUUCUGCUACAAUCGGCAUUUUGCCUCCUCCUUUUGCAUUCUGCCGAGGACUGUACAGCUGUUCGGAGAGUGUCCCUUCAAUGGGUCCACCAUCUGGUCAUUAUUUCAGAUUUCAGAUUUUUUUGAAUGAACCUGCACAAACUGGCAAACAUGUUCUACUCAGGGCUGCCUAAAGCGUACGGAGUAGUAGAGGAUGUUUAACACUUGCAAAGCAAUCCUCAAUUGUGAAAGAGGUCACACACAGUGAUGACCUGAAAGUAAACAGCUGACCUUAAUGGUUCUGUUUCCCCCCCACCGCUUUUAUCAGCGCCAUUUCCCGCUGCAGAAAGCAGUUUUCAGGGAUAAAAUUGUUUAAACCUCCCUGCAGGCUACCUUCCAGGCAGCAGACAGUAGCCAAACUUAGCAACGAGCUGCUAAGUACUGAAGUUGCGGUGACAAAUUCCCCUGCCAGAUAAAACGCCUCGGACGAGUGCCGCAGCGCAGCUAACGGUGACUCUGCAGUUACCGUCUACGGGACAGUGUGUCUGCAGAGCCGUCAGGACCUGCACACAGACACUAAAGAGGAGAGGAAUUUUAUUACAUGCCUGUCAUACGGCCUCACACAGAGGGAGACUGUCAUUGCCACCAUCAGUCUGAUAUUACUGACAGAGCUCUCCCCUCGAGACGAAUUCUAACCAACGACAGUAUGAAGGAUCUGGAGGCCAACUCAAUAAAGGGCCUUUCGUGCUUUGUUGAUCACAGAUUUAUAUAAAGCAGGCUUCUUAACCUCAUCUUCUACUGCUGGACCGCAGCACGGAGAGCUUGUUUAAUAAUAAUAAUUUUUGUUAUCAUGUGUAAUUUCUUUUGAAAUAGUUUUGCACUGACAUGGUGAGAAAUGAAAAAAAGAGAUCGUUGGAACAGCCAGUUCAAUACACAUUAAAUGCAAUGAUAUUAAAUACUAAUGUAAACAUGGUGGAAAAAAAAUCCUUUAUUGAUCCCCCCAUCGGGGAAAUGUAGGUGUUGCAGCAGUUCAUGUAUAGAGAAACAGAUCAAGACAAUAAAUAAAACAUAUUAUGCAAUAAGUACAAAUGAAAUAAAAUUACAAUUUGAACAUUAUUAUUGACUUUUUAUCCUUUUUUAACAGCUAUUCUUCUCUUGUUCUCACUAUGAUGACCAGCAAUAAAUAGCUGUUGAAACAUUAGAGUGAAAAUAGAUAGAUAAUAAACCAAGUUUAGC
ensembl:lncRNA